CUUUUUAGAGUGUCCACGUCGGACAGGAAAAUAGUCCAAUCAGAAUAUUUCCUUUUGCCAUGUCAUGUACUUUUUUUUGGUUUAUGAUUGUACGUUAGGCUCUCUCUCUAACAGUCAAGGUGGGCUUCUGUAGGGGCUCUCUCUAAAAAAAUUAUUGGCCCACCCAGCUCUUACUUCUUCGUCUUCAAGUUUCGGAAGUCUCUCCCGACGAUUUCACUUCAUCUUCUCCAAUCCCUAAAUUUUUUUUUCACCGUUACCUUAUCAUCAAUGACUAUGUUAAAGCGAUUCUUCAAUGUUCUGUUCCACCUCCCCUUCAUACUUCUCCUACAUAAAGCUCUCUUUCUAAACCUAGAUCCAUCCUAAAUCGAAAAAAUUACUCUGCAGAAACGAUAUCCAUGGCAAUGAAAUCCACCACGAAGUCUCAGCUAGCCACCGGUAAAUCUCCCGUCGCCAUGUACUUCAACGACAUCUCGCCGGGACUUUCUGAGUCACAGCUUCAAUUCCGAUUGAUCCAUUUUUGGGAGGCAAAGAACAUCGCCAAAGGUGGGACUUUAAUUGGGGUUGGUAUUGGGUUACCCAAUUCAACAGCUUCUGUGCGUAACUUUAUCAAAGCCUCGAAAGUAACCACUUGAAGCUCAAUAGUCUAAAUGUGUUUUGUCUGUGUGAUGAAGAGCCACACAGCUACGAUGGAGAGACACUUCGAUGAUAUUUAUAAUUUUGCUGGAAAUAAUAGUUCAUCAUCGCUGCCAUGGUCAAUCCUCGCUGUCGUACGAUCGACAAGUUCAGAUCAUUGAGAGGUAGCAAAAUGUUUACUUGCAAUGAUCAACGCAUAAUUGCUCUUGAAUUGGACACAGGUGCAAGUCGACUACAAAGUCUUGAGCAAUUGAUGGGCCAUUUUACAGUGAAGAUCCAAUGUCCCUACUUCCCAUGUUUUGUUUGUCUGUUGGUAUUUUCUGUAAUGGAAUUGUCAAUCUUUUGGUAGGGAACUGUUAAAUCUUCUUUCUUUCUUUUUGUAAAAAGGCUUACAAAACUGUUAAAUCUUCACAAAGCAUUUUUGAGGUUUAAUUCUUUUUCUUUUUACUCCUCUCUAUCUAAUCUAAGAUCAUAUGGAUUUACUAAUUUGUAUGCCUAUCAUAUUUGUCUCAGUUAGUUCAGGCAGCAGUUGUGGUAGAAAACAUGAUUAAGACAGAGUGCUUGAAAAAUGAACUGUGCUAUUAUAUAUUACAAUAAAACCAUAACUCAAUCAGAUAUGGAUGAGACAAAGCCAAUCGGCUUACCAGGUCAGAAGUCACAACCCGUUUCGGAUCCACAAGAAAGAAGCAGUAGAGGUAAGUGCGGGAAACACAGUAGAAAAGCUUCAGGGCGCGUGCAAAAACAGAGGCUUCUUUAUCAAAGUAGAUUCAACGUGUGUUUAUGUGUAGCAGUGUAUAUAUAUGUAAUAUUGUAGCAGUGGAUGGCCCGAGAGAAUGUGUACUGUGUACACAUACAUAUAUGUAGAAGACUAACUAAUGUGGUUUUAAUUAGUAUCAAAACAAUUGUUUCGAUAUAUGCUAAGCUGAUGUUAGGACGAAAACUUAGAUUCUUUGUAAAUUUCUCUCUGUAUAAACAGUGGUUGGAUGAUUAUAAGAGGCUUCAAUCUUUCUUUUUCUUCAUUUAUGGAUUUAAGCCUUGCCUUAAACUAAAAAAAUUCAAAUAAGUAUAAGAAAUUAUUUUGAACCAGCAUACAAAAUUUAAAUCGGUAUUAUUUAAUGCUAUAUAAUUUUCUUUAUUAUAGUUACUUUGUUGUAUUAUUCACAUAUAAUAGAAAACCGGAAUUUGCAUAAUAAUGUUUCUCUUGCAUUUAGGUUAAAAUAUGUAUUCAGAGUAUUGUUCAUCCCACUAAAGAAAAUUAAAAGUAAAAGUUUGUAAUCUUGGAAAACUAGAGUCCAACUGGUUGACUAUAGUUGAGGAAAGGAAUACUACGUUCCAGUUCAUUCCCAGAUUAUUUUACCAUUUGCAAAGAAAAUUUAUUACUUAUAAGGGUUACUAAUUCCCCAUCGUUCCUUUUCUAUAAAGAACUAUGGCACAAAUAUAUUCCAUAUCAAAUCAUACGAGGAACAAUUAUUCCUUCAGUUUUUUUCUUAUAGUUCCUUUAGAUUUUUUUUUCACUUAAAUUGUCACCAAUUGGACCUUAAAUUACAUCAUUUAACCUUUCAAAAACAAUAGGUUUGCAAAAUGUAUACGAAAAAAUCAGUCAAAAAAAUGUAUACGAAAAAGUAUUAAUGGAUUCAAAAAAUGUAUAAGAAGGAAAAAUAAUUUAUGAUUUAUGUAUUGAAAUUUAAAUAUAGUUCUGAAUAAUUUUAUUUAUUUAAUAAAUAUAGAAUAAAUCAUCCUAUCUUUUGUCUAUCUUUUGUUGAUUAGCCAUAUCAUUAGAACCACAUUACUAAAUGCUCUCAACGGAACCAAAUCACCACCCAAACAGAAUCCCACAGAGCAAACUAAAAACAAAAAUAAACAAAUACAAUUAAUUAAAAAGCGUAGUAUAAUUAGAGAAUGAAGUGGAAUAACAUGAAAUUAAUAAUAUUUGAUCAUUAACCUCCCAAUUUUUUUAAAAAAAAUAUUAGGACAAAAUAACAACCCAAAAAUGAGAUAGAUUGCUUGGAGUACGAGUUCGAAAACUUGAGUGUUACUCAUCCGUUUUACAAGCAAGUAAAGCUAUAAUAUUAUGCCAUCCAAACAAUAUAAACAAUUAAUAAGAUCAUCAUCAAGCUAAAAUUCAUUUAAAAUUAUAAGAAGAAAUUAAU